rnacentral:rRNA from 1 species
CCUGGCUCAGGUCGAACGCUGGCGGCGCGCCUAACACAUGCAAGUCGAACGAGAGAGAAGGAGCUUGCUUCUUCGAUCGAGUGGCGAACGGGUGAGUAACGCGUGAGGAACCUGCCUCAAAGAGGGGGACAACAGUUGGAAACGACUGCUAAUACCGCAUAAGCCCACGGGUCGGCAUCGACCAGAGGGAAAAGGAGUGAUCCGCUUUGAGAUGGCCUCGCGUCCGAUUAGCUAGUUGGUGAGGUAACGGCCCACCAAGGCAACGAUCGGUAGCCGGACUGAGAGGUUGAACGGCCACAUUGGGACUGAGACACGGCCCAGACUCCUACGGGAGGCAGCAGUGGGGAAUAUUGCACAAUGGGGGAAACCCUGAUGCAGCGACGCCGCGUGGAGGAAGAAGGUCUUCGGAUUGUAAACUCCUGUUGUUGAGGAAGAUAAUGACGGUACUCAACAAGGAAGUGACGGCUAACUACGUGCCAGCAGCCGCGGUAAAACGUAUGUCACAAGCGUUGUCCGGAAUUACUGGGUGUAAAGGGAGCGCAGCGGGAAGACAAGUUGGAAGUGAAAAUCAUGGUCUCAACCCAUAAACUGCUUCAAAACUGAUUUCCUUGAGUAGUGCAGAGGUAGGCGGAAUUCCCGGUGUAGCGGUGGAAUGCGUAGAUAUCGGGAGGAACACCAGUGGCGAAGGCGGCCUACUGGGCACCAACUGACGCUGAGGCUCGAAAGUGUGGGUAGCAAACAGGAUUAGAUACCCUGGUAGUCCACACCGUAAACGAUGAUUACUAGGUGUUGGAGGAUUGACCCCUUCAGUGCCGCAGUUAACACAAUAAGUAAUCCACCUGGGGAGUACGACCGCAAGGUUGAAACUCAAAGGAAUUGACGGGGGCCCGCACAAGCAGUGGAGUAUGUGGUUUAAUUCGACGCAACGCGAAGAACCUUACCAAGUCUUGACAUCCCUUGACGGACAUAGAAAUAUGUUUUCUCUUCGGAGCAAGGAGACAGGUGGUGCAUGGUUGUCGUCAGCUCGUGUCGUGAGAUGUUGGGUUAAGUCCCGCAACGAGCGCAACCCUUAUGGUCAGUUACUACGCAAGAGGACUCUGGCCAGACUGCCGUUGACAAAACGGAGGAAGGUGGGGAUGACGUCAAAUCAUCAUGCCCUUUAUGACUUGGGCUACACACGUACUACAAUGGCGUUAAACAAAGAGAAGCAAGACCGCGAGGUGGAGCAAAACUCAGAAACAACGUCCCAGUUCGGACUGCAGGCUGCAACUCGCCUGCACGAAGUCGGAAUUGCUAGUAAUCGUGGAUCAGCAUGCCACGGUGAAUACGUUCCCGGGCCUUGUACACACCGCCC